GACGAACGCUGGCGGCGCGCCUCAUACAUGCAAGUCGAACGAGAAGCCCGGGCUUGCCCGGGUGGAGAGUGGCGAACGGGUGAGGAACACGUGAGGAACAUGCCCCGAAGACUGGGAUAACACCGGGAAACCGGUGCUAAUACCGGAUGCCCUCACCGGACCGCAUGAUCCGGAGAGGAACUGGAUUCCGCUUCGGGAUGGCCUCGCGGCCUAUCAGCGUGUUGGUGGGGUAAUGGCCCACCAAGGCUUCGACGGGUAGCUGGUCUGAGAGGAUGUCCAGCCACACUGGGACUGAGACACGGCCCAGACUCCUACGGGAGGCAGCAGUAGGGAAUCUUGCGCAAUGAGCGAAAGCUUGACGCAGCGACGCCGCGUGCGGGAUGAAGGCCCUCGGGUCGUAAACCGCUUUCAGCAGGGACGAAACUGACGGUACCUGCAGAAGAAGGCCCGGCCAACUACGUGCCAGCCGCCGCUGUAAUAC
rnacentral:rRNA from 1 species